rnacentral:rRNA from 1 species
GACGAACGCUGGCGGCGUGCCUAAUACAUGCAAGUCGAGCGGACGAAUCGAAAGCUUGCUUUUGAUUCGUUAGCGGCGGACGGGUGAGUAACACGUGGGCAACCUGCCCUGUAGACGGGGAUAACACCGAGAAAUCGGUGCUAAUACCGGAUAACACGAAAUGUCGCAUGACGUUUCGUUGAAAGACGGCGCAAGCUGUCGCUACAGGAUGGGCCCGCGGCGCAUUAGCUAGUUGGUGAGGUAACGGCUCACCAAGGCGACGAUGCGUAACCGACCUGAGAGGGUGAUCGGCCACACUGGGACUGAGACACGGCCCAGACUCCUACGGGAGGCAGCAGUAGGGAAUCUUCCGCAAUGGACGAAAGUCUGACGGAGCAACGCCGCGUGAGCGAAGAAGGCCUUCGGGUCGUAAAGCUCUGUUGUUAGGGAAGAACAAGUAACGCAGUAACUGGCGUUACCGUGACGGUACCUAACGAGAGAGCCACGGCUAACUACGUG